AGAGUUGAUCAUGGCUCAGGAUGAACGCUGGCGGCGUGCCUAAUACAUGCAAGUCGAACGAGGUAGCAAUACCGAGUGGCGAACGGGUGAGUAACACGUAGGUAACCUGCCCUUAAGCUUGGGAUACCCAGAGGAAACUUGGCUAAUACCGGAUAACAACAGAGAAGGCAUCUUCUUUGCUUGAAAGGCCCCUUCAAGGGUCACUUAAGGAUGGACCUGCGGCGCAUUAGCUAGUUGGUGAGAUAACAGCCCACCAAGGCGAGGAUGCGUAGCCGAACUGAGAGGUUGAUCGGCCACAUUGGAACUGAGACACGGUCCAAACUCCUACGGGAGGCAGCAGUAAGGAGUUUUCGGCAAUGGGGGAAACCCUGACCGAGCAACGCCGCGUGAGCGAUGAAGGUCCUUUGGAUUGUAAGAGCUCUGUUGUAAGCCAUGAAUGAUAGCUUGAGGAAAUGCAAGCUAUUUGACGACAGCUUACCAGAAAGCCACGGCUAACUACGUGCCAGCAGCCGC
rnacentral:rRNA from 1 species